AGCUCAGUGGUAGAGUGCAUGCUUAGUGAGCAUGAGGUCCUGGGUUCAAUCCCCAG
rnacentral:tRNA from 1 species